rnacentral:lncRNA from 12 species
GGGGGGGGGGGGGGGGGGGGGGGGGGGGGGGGGGGGGGGGGGGGGGGGGGGGGGGGGGGGGGGGGGGGGGGGGGGGGGGGCAGCGCGGCGGGGCCGCCUCGCCUGGGCCCGGGGCGGCGGGAUCACCGGGCGGGCCGGGCUGGGAGGGACCGCACCGGGCCGGCUGGUCCAACCUCCCCGCCCCCUCUCGAGUGAGGGAGAUUCCACCACCUCCCUGGGCAAUCUGUUCCAGGGCUCGAGCACCGCGACAGUAAAGUUCUUCGUACUCAGGUGGAACUUCCUGUGCAUCAGUUUGUACCCAUUGUCUCUUGUCCUAUUACUUGGCACCACGGAGAAGAGGCUGGUCCAUCUGCUUGACAGCCAUCCUUUAGGUAUUCUGGAAACACAACAGUUCCCAGACGUGGCUGAAGGACGCAUCCAUGGCUCAGGCCAGCCAACCAAAACCAGACUGCACUCUCCCCAGCACCCUAACAAUAACAAUAAAGAUGGGCCAACGUGACUUUUCAGGGUAUGUUUUCAAUCAAAAUACACGUGUGCUAUCACAGUAGGCUGCCCCUUCACUUCACACCUGCUGAACCUGUGCCGCCGUGCUUUACUGCUAUUGUUACCAAUGCUAAUUAACACUAGCCCUGGGUUUGCCUCUACACGCUGCAGUUGUUUUACUGUGUAGGCAGGCCCCGAGGUCCCAGGCCUGUUAGAAGUCUGAAUGAAGCCCUCUCUCAGGAGCAAUCUGAGAGCUGCCUAUGACCAUUUUGGGGCAUGCAGCAGUUCAUUCUCACUGGAGCAAAGUCGACGAUUUAAUGAGCCAGUGCAUUCUGUACAGCUGUAGAUGCUAAGUUGAUUGACAGUGGAGCUCUGAGGAGAAAACCAAAGGGAAGGACUAUCAGAAAUUAGGAUACUGCAGUCAGUGAAAGCCAAUUUGCAGAUUUACAAAAGGAACUUUACAUUAAAUUUCCAUGCACGCAGAGCUCUGCCACUCAAGUACGUACUUGGCGUGUUCUUGCCAUUUACCAUAAAUAUUCUGACUCGUUUAUGUACACUUUUAGAAUAUUUCAGGCCAUAUUAUUUAACCCAGAUUGUUACUACUGAGCACCAAACCACUUGAAUUAAAAAUUUCUAC